UGGCUCCGUGGUCAAGCGGUUAAGACACCGCCCUUUCACGGCGGUAACACGGGUUCGAGUCCCGUUGGAGUCAU
rnacentral:tRNA from 1 species